GGGGAUGUGGCUCAAGUGGUAGAGCGCUCACCUGGCAUGCGCGGGGCGCUGGGUUCCAUCCUCAGCACCACA
rnacentral:tRNA from 1 species